rnacentral:rRNA from 1 species
AACGAACGCUGGCGGCAUGCCUAACACAUGCAAGUCGAACGAGACCUUCGGGUCUAGUGGCGCACGGGUGCGUAACGCGUGGGAACCUGCCCUUAGGUUCGGAAUAACUCCCCGAAAGGGGUGCUAAUACCGGAUAAUGUCUUCGGACCAAAGAUUUAUCGCCUUUGGAUGGGCCCGCGUUGGAUUAGCUAGUUGGUAGGGUAAAAGCCUACCAAGGCGACGAUCCAUAGCUGGUCUGAGAGGAUGAUCAGCCACACUGGGACUGAGACACGGCCCAGACUCCUACGGGAGGCAGCAGUGGGGAAUAUUGGACAAUGGGCGAAAGCCUGAUGCAGCAAGGCCGCGUGAGUGAUGAAGGCCUUAGGGUUGUAAAGCUCUUUUACCCGGGAUGAUAAUGACAGUACCGGGAGAAUAAGCCCCGGCUAACUCCGUG